rnacentral:rRNA from 1 species
UACGAAGGGGCUAGCGUUGCUCGGAAUCACUGGGCGUAAAGCGCACGUAGGCGGAUUUCUAAGUCGGGGGUGAAAUCCUGGAGCUCAACUCCAGAACUGCCUUCGAUACUGGAAGUCUUGAGUCCGGGAGAGGUGAGUGGAACUGCGAGUGUAGAGGUGAAAUUCGUAGAUAUUCGCAAAGAACACCAGUGGCGAAGGCGGCUCACUGGCCCGGUACUGACGCUGAGGUGCGAAAGCGUGGGGAGCAAACAGGG